GACGAACGCUGGCGGCGUGCCUAACACAUGCAAGUCGAACGGAGAAAUUCAGCAAUGGAUUUCUUAGUGGCGAACGGGUGAGUAACGCGUAGAUAACCUGCCCCUAAGAUGGGGACAACAACUCGAAAGGGUUGCCAAUACCGAAUGUGAACAGUGCCUCGCAUGAGAUGCUGUUUGAAGGUGGCCUCUGAAUAUGCUACCGCUUAGAGAUGGGUCUGCGUCUGAUUAGCUAGGUUGGAGGGGUAAUGGCCCACAAAGGCGACGAUCAGUAGCCGGUCUGAGAGGAUGAACGGCCACACGGGGACUGAGACACGGCCCAGACGCCUACGGGAGGCAGCAGUGGGGAAUCUUCCGCAAUGGACGAAAGUCUGACGGAGCAACGCCGCGUGAGUGAAGAAGGUUUUCGGAUCGUAAAGCUCUGUCUUCAGGGACGAAUGUGCAGAUUGUAAAUAAUGGUUUGCAAUGACGGUACCUGAGGAGGAAGCCACGGCUAACUACGUGCCAGCAGCCGCCGUAA
rnacentral:rRNA from 1 species